GUAAAACGCCUAGCCUCUGAAGAACCCAAGACAGAGGGGGCGUCGGGACUGGAGGCUUAUGCGGGGGGCGUGGCUUCAGGCAGCUACCGACGUCCUCUUCCGGAACAGGCCUGUGCCCCGGAAGCAGUUGUUUGCUGAGAGUCUUUGGUCCCGUUUAGGAGACUGCGUGGGUGUUGUCACCAUGUUCCUGUCCGCGGUCACUUUUGCCAAGAGCAAGUCAAAAACCAUUCUGGUGAAAAUGCUGAGCCAAGCUGGGACAGGUUACUCCUUCAACACGAAGAGAAGCCGACUACGGGAGAAACUGACUCUCUUGCAUUAUGAUCCAAUUGUUCUUCCCAGGUUAGCACCUCCGGUCGCCAUACACAGAUUACCAGUGUCUAACUUGAUGACAUCGGUCUGAAUGGUGUCCUUCACCUCGAUGAGGGGGUCAGGAUGGCGGCCGGUGUGAGCAUCAUGGGUCACCAGUGAAAGCAAAAGUCCUCUUUGUGGAACAGAAGAAAAUACGUUCCCUCUAAACAAUGGAUUGAAAACGAAUUUGAUUUAUAAAUGAGAAUACUGAGGGUGGGAUACUGAUUCAGAAAUUCUGCAGCGUGUAAUAAAAGAAGAGGAAAUGGCACGGAAUCACUGCCUCCUGUGAUUUGAAGGCCAUUGUGAAGAAAAACAAUGUACUGAAAGAAAGUUCUUCAUAUUAGGACAUAGAUCAUUGCAUCACAUUUAUUUAUCUUUCUGGAUAUUUUUAUAGCCCUUAAUAAAAAAUAUUAAAAUA